rnacentral:rRNA from 1 species
CCUACGGGGGGCAGCAGUAGGGAAUCUUCGGCAAUGGGGGAAACCCUGACCGAGCAACGCCGCGUGAGUGAGGAAGGUCUUCGGAUCGUAAAGCUCUGUUGCCAGGGAAGAACGCCUUGGGGAGGAAAUGCCCUGAGGGUGACGGUACCUGAGAAGAAAGCCCCGGCUAACUACGUGCCAGCAGCCGCGGUAAUACGUAGGGGGCAAGCGUUGUCCGGAAUUAUUGGGCGUAAAGCGCGCGCAGGCGGUCCUUUAAGUCUUGUGUUUAACCCCGGGGCUCAACCCCGGUUCGCAUGGGAAACUGGAGGACUGGAGUGCAGGAGAGGAAAGUGGAAUUCCACGUGUAGCGGUGAAAUGCGUAGAGAUGUGGAGGAACACCAGUGGCGAAGGCGACUUUCUGGCCUGUAACUGACGCUGAGGCGCGAAAGCGUGGGGAGCAA